rnacentral:rRNA from 1 species
CAGCCGCCGCGGGAAAACGGAGGGUGCAAGCGUUAAUCGGAAUUACUGGGCGUAAAGCGCACGCAGGCGGUCUGUCAAGUCAGAUGUGAAAUCCCCGGGCUUAACCUGGGAACUGCAUUUGAAACUGGCAGGCUAGAGUCUUGUAGAGGGGGGUAGAAUUCCAGGUGUAGCGGUGAAAUGCGUAGAGAUCUGGAGGAAUACCGGUGGCGAAGGCGGCCCCCUGGACAAAGACUGACGCUCAGGUGCGAAAGCGUGGGGAGCAAACAGGAUUAGAUACCCCAGUAGUCCCUGUCUCUUAUAC